ACCACAAACAUAUCGAAUUCAAAUUCAAAUAAUAUUUAUUUAUUCACCACAUCCAUAACAACAUUGUCAGAAACUUGAACAGUUUUUCAACCCCGGUCCCGGGAAACUACAAAGAUUCGUGCAUUCGUGAUCCAAUCCAAUCCAGGACUCUGUAGAGGACUUGCCGAGCCAACAGACGAGACGCUUCCAUGGUUGUGUUUCUGAUCUAAUCCGUUUACUGCACGAGAUGUAGAUAAUGCGGAAUGAAUUCGAUAAACAUGAAAGGAUAUUUGCUUGUAUGUCACAUACCUGAACUCUGUUCAUUAUUUACAGGUCUGUGUGGUUGUUGUUACUUGUAUUAUUGUUGUUGUUAUUCGCAUGCAUGGAGCUUCCGUUACUGAAUGCGAAGGACGAUGUAUGGUGGGAGAGACUCGAUGUUAGAUGCAUUGACGUAGAGAUUUGACUAUGAUGUAGC